rnacentral:rRNA from 1 species
UACGAAGGGGGCUAGCGUUGCUCGGAAUCACUGGGCGUAAAGGGUGCGUAGGCGGGUCUUUAAGUCAGGGGUGAAAUCCUGGAGCUCAACUCCAGAACUGCCUUUGAUACUGAGGAUCUUGAGUUCGGGAGAGGUGAGUGGAACUGCGAGUGUAGAGGUGAAAUUCGUAGAUAUUGCAAGAACACCAGUGGCGAAGGCGGCUCACUGGCCCGAUACUGACGCUGAGGCACGGAAAGCGUGGGGAGCAAACGGG